UACGGAGGGUGCAAGCGUUGUUCGGAAUUAUUGGGCGUAAAGCGCGCGUAGGCGGCCUUGUAAGUCGAAUGUGAAAUCCCCGUGGCUUAACCAUGGAAGUGCAUUCGAAACUGCGAGGCUCGAGUGUCGGAGAGGGUGGUGGAAUUCCCAGUGUAGAGGUGAAAUUCGUAGAUAUUGGGAGGAACACCAGUGGCGAAGGCGACCGCCUGGACGACAACUGACGCUGAGGCGCGAGAGCGUGGGGAGCAAACAGG
rnacentral:rRNA from 1 species